UUUCCGUAGGUGAACCUGCGGAAGGAUCAUUACCGAGUAAGGGUCAUUCUGGCCCGACCUACAACCCUUUGUUUAAUUACUAUGUUGUUUUCGCGGGCCCGUUUCACGACCGCCUGAUGUCCUCGCACUUCUCGCCCGUUCCCGCCAAAAGCCUUCUACAACCUCUUGAUCUAUUGUUAUGUCUGAGUAAUAAAUUUAAUAGUUAAAACUUUCAACAACGGAUCUCUUGGUUCUG
rnacentral:misc_RNA from 1 species